rnacentral:lncRNA from 1 species
GAUCUAGGUAUUUAACAACCUAAGAAUAUACAGGAGUCGCCACUAGCCUCAACUUUGGGGGUCGGCUAGAAACCCAAUCGAGGGUCGGGAGUGUUCCCUCGAUUCCUACGCAACCAGAUAUCUACGUUCGGGGACUUGGGUUACGCUAAUAUUGCUAUUAGCGCCCUUUCGGUACCUAAACAGUAUGUUGUGUUUUUCCUAACAUGUCCAUGCGUUUCUUUUUACAUUUUUCAGGAUCAUCAAUUCCUAGACUAAGUGAUCAUGCGUGGUGGAUUACUUUCAUUCUAUUCUAUUUCUAAAAAAAAUGAAAGAAAAGAAAACAAUCAAUGAAAUUGAAAAUUAAAUUGCAAGACAUGAAGUAAACAAUCAAGAUAAAACAGUAAACCUAAUCAUGCAAUUCUAAAGAAUAUAAAAGAGAAAACAAUCGAGAAAGAAAGGAAACCCGCAACUCGUCGGGCUUUAUACAAUGCAUAAAACCCGAGACAUAUGUCGGGAAAAUGAGCAUUACAUGAUAACAGUCGGAGUGGACAUCGACCUUCACCAUCUUCACGCCUUCUCCAUCUUCGGGAUCCUAAUCUAAACCUAAUCUAAUAAACCUAUAACUAGGUAUAUGCAGUGGAAGAAAACAAACAAACAUAUCAAAACAUCAAAGAACAAGACAUUAUUAGUGUUAAAAAAUGGUGACUAAAGUCAUGAAGUCUUUACACCAAAUUCUAAGUGAAAUCCCAAGAUUUAGCAUCAUUAUGUAUUACACCUAAAUCAUCUAUCUAACGAUCACACACAAAGCAUAUAACAUGACAAACAUUCAAGCCACAUGACCUUG